GACGAACGCUGGCGGCGUGCUUAACACAUGCAAGUCGAACGGAAAGGCCCUGCUUUUGUGGGGUGCUCGAGUGGCGAACGGGUGAGUAACACGUGAGUAACCUGCCCUUGACUUUGGGAUAACUUCAGGAAACUGGGGCUAAUACCGGAUAGGAGCUACUGCUGCAUGGUGGGGGUUGGAAAGUUUCGGCGGUUGGGGAUGGACUCGCGGCUUAUCAGCUUGUUGGUGGGGUAGUGGCUUACAAAGGCUUUGAAGGGUAGCCGGCCUGGGAGGGUGACCGGCCACAUGGGGACUGAGAGACGGCCCAGACUCCUACGGGAGGCAGCAGUGGGGAAUAUUGCACAAUGGGCGGAAGUCUGAUGCAGAAACGCCGCGUGCGGGAUGACGGCCUUCGGGUUGUAAACCGCUUUCGCCUGUGACGAAGCGUGAGUGACGGUAAUGGGUAAAGAAGCACCGGCUAACUACGUG
rnacentral:rRNA from 1 species